AUCUACGGCCAUACCACCCUGAACGCGCCUGAUCUUGUCUGAUCUCAGAAGCUAAGCAGGUUCGGGCCUUGUUAGUACUUGGACGGGAGAAAGGAGAAAAAGAGGGACAUGGAUG
ensembl:rRNA 5S_rRNA 5S ribosomal RNA